UGGAGCUGAACAAAAUAAAAAUAGUAGAGUGAAACUGUUCCUACUUUGGUCCCUAUCUGUGGCCUUUUGCAGCAUCCUUUGUCUCUGAAACCAGGACCCGGUGAGCUCAGAAAAGGCAGUGGGAUGCCUGUCUUUCUGUUCAUGUUCAGGUGUCUGUGGUGGAGGAAGCAGCCAAAACCACUGAGCAGUUCAUUAGAAUCCAUCGUGUGAAUACAGACAGGAUGGGGCUACCAGAGACAUGGAGAAGAGCCUGCUGAUCCAAGCGUGCAAUUUUGGACAUUACAUACUUCAGGCUGAUUAUGGUUUCAGUAGAAACUCCACUUAUGAAAACACAGAGUGCAGUCACAUGGACAACUUCCCAGCUAAAGACAGGAUUAUUUGAUUCGCCCUGCAAAACACAACUUGUCAAAACUCUCUGUGGCUAAACUCCUACUCGCUCAGCAUCUCCUAGGUGACUGUGACUACACAUGCUCCAACAUAUUUUAAAAUAAAAUAUCCCAUGGUUACAAUUACUGGUUGAAUUAUGAGGAUGAUAGUGUGGUUUGAUAUCUAGCACAAAGAACUCCAAGAGACUGCUGGGACUGUGAAUACUGUGCUUCCCAACCCAGCUCAAGAAGAAACAUGGGAGGCAGAAUCUAAAGUGCUGGUUGCAACAGUUUAAUUUAGCUUGUGUGUCUGAUCAGUGCAAAUAUCAAUGGUACUGGUUUGGAGAUGAGAAAAAAAAAAGAGGGGAAAAAAUAUUCAGAAAUAUCCCAGGACAAAGAAACACUAGUUUGAGUCUUUUGAUGAAUAUUCCUAUGACUGUUAAAAAAUCAAGUUCUUCCAGAAGUAAAUUACUUAUUAUGGAAAGAAAAAAACUAUUGUCUUACUACUAGUAGUUGGCAUAUAAAUCUAAAUGAAGUGAGCACUAGUAAAGCAAAAGACAGCUGAGACGUGCAUAAACAUGUGAACCCGUGGGUUUGAUGACAAAUAGUGAAGUGACACCGUCAGUGCAGGAGUGCUGCACACGCAGGAGGGAUAAUGAUCUGUCACAGUAGAUGUGACAUGACUGCAGCAUAAGCAUCGAGGGAAGAUAAGAAGAAAUGUGUUCAGACAGAAGGCCUGUUCCUACACCCAGCCUUCAGUUUCCUUUACCAGCAUUGCUAACUGCUACUCUGCUUCCUAACUCCUAGCACAAACAAAGCAGAGGCUUGAGAGUGACAGAUGAAAGGUUUGCAGAGCGCCUGGGAGCGAUGUGCAGCUCCUGCUCAGACGCCUCCCCUGGGUCACAUAUUUGCCGUUGCUUAUUGCACUUCCCUAAAAUCAUUUGUUGCAUCAGAAGAAGAUGCACCAUUUGUAUUUUUUGCCUUCAGAUCAGGAUAAGGAGAAACGACUGGAAUGCUUGCAAAAAUGUCUUGUGAUGGGAUAUGAAGGAAUUUGGAAGUGGGGAUUUUGAAGGAACUGAGAAAGAAAAGGCAAGGUGGUGGGCUGCAAAAAGUGGGGUGAUGUGCACAAAAUGGCUAAGAAAUGAACUUCGAAGGAAUGUGAUGAACAGUUGUGAGAAGAAAAAAAAAGU